CCGAUAUCAAGCACACAACAACAUAGCUCAUGACACCUUGCUUAUCCACACUCCCACAGGACAGCAGUGAUAAAAAUUAAGCCAUGAAUAACAGUUCGACUAAACCAUAUUAAAUUAGGGUUGGUAAAUUUCGUGCCAGCCACAACGGUCAUACAAUUAACCCAACCUAAUAGACCUAUGGUGUAAAGUAUGUUAAAGAGGAGCCUCGUGCUAAAAUUAAAUUUUAACUAGGCUGUAAAAAGCUACAGUUAACAUAAAAAUAUAACACCAAAGUAACUUUAACACCUCUGACCACAUGAUAGCUAAGACCCAAACGGGGAUUAGCUAUCCCACUAUGCUCAGCCCUAAACUUAGCUAGCUAAACAAAUCUACCCUCCAGAGAUCUACUAGCAACAGCUUAAAACUCAAAGGACUUGGCGGUGCUUUAUAUCCUCUAGAGGAGACUGUUCUAUAAUCAAUAAACCCUGAUAUACCUCACCACCCCUUGCUAAUCCAGUCUAUAUACUGCCAUCUUCAGCAAACCCCAAAAAGGAAGAAAAGUAAGCACAAGUAUCUUAACAUAAAAAAGUUAGGUCAAGGUGUAAUCUAUGAGGUGGAAAGUAAUGGGCUACAUUUUCUAUAUUAGAACAUAUUUCCAUGAAAGCCCUUAUGAAAUUAAGAACCCAAGGAGGAUUUAGUAGUAAAUUGAGAAUAGAGAGCUCAAUUGAAUUGGACCAUGAAGCACGCACACAAUGCCUGUCACCCCCCUCAAGUGACAAAAAUCCAAAGAUAACCUAUUCAGACUAUAAAAAACACAAGAGGAGACAAGUUGUAACAAGGUAGGCAUACCAGAAAAUGUGCUUGGAUAAAACAAGAUGUAGCUUAAACAAAGCAUCUUGUUUAUACCCAGGAGAUUUCAUAUCAAACUGACCAUAUUGAGCCAAAAUUAGCCCAAACCAACAUAAAUUCAAUUAACAUAAAACAAUAAAUCAAAACAUUUAGUUAAUUCUUAAAAGUAUAGGAGAUAGAAAUUUAAUUUGGCACUAUAGAGAAAGUACCAUAAGGGAAAGAUGAAAGAAAAAUUAAAAGCCCUAACAGAUGGAGAAGAGCACACGUUUGA